rnacentral:rRNA from 1 species
UACGUAGGCACCAAGCGUUGUCCGGAUUUAUUGGGCGUAAAGAGCUCGUAGGCGGUUCGGUAAGUCGGGUGUGAAAACUCUGGGCUCAACCCAGAGAGGCCACCCGAUACUGCCGUGACUGGAGUACGGUAGGGGAGUGGGGAAUUCCUGGUGUAGCGGUGAAAUGCGCAGAUAUCAGGAGGAACACCAGUGGCGAAGGCGCCACUCUGGGCCGUAACUGACGCUGAGGAGCGAAAGCGUGGGUAGCAAACAGG